CCUACGGGUGGCAGCAGUGAGGAAUAUUGGUCAAUGGCCGGAAGGCUGAACCAGCCAUGCCGCGUGAAGGUCAGUGAACUAUGGGCGUUAAACUUCUUUUGUGCGGGAGCAAUAAUGGUCACGUGUGGCCAGACGAGAGUACCGUACGAAUAAGCAUCGGCUAAAUCCGUGCCAGCAGCCGCGGUAAUACGGGGGAUGACAGCGUUAUCCGGAUUUAUUGGGUUGAAAGGGUGCGUAGGCUGUGAGGUAAGUCAGCGGUGAAAUGCCCCCGCUCAACGGGGUGAAGUGCCAUUGUUACUGCCUGGCUGGAAUGCGGAUGCCGUUGGAGGAAUGUGUGGUGUAGCGGUGAAAUGCAUAGAUAUCACACAGAACACCGAUUGCGAAGGCAUCUCACGAAUCCGCGAUUGACGCUGAUGCACGAAAGCGUGGGUAUCAAACAGGAUUAGAUACCCUAGUAGUC
rnacentral:rRNA from 1 species